UACGGAGGGUGCAAGCGUUAAUCGGAAUUACUGGGCGUAAAGCGUGCGUAGGCGGCUUUUUAAGUCAGAUGUGAAAGCCCCGGGCUUAACCUGGGAACUGCAUUUGAUACUGGAAGGCUAGAGUUGAGUAGAGGAGAGUGGAAUUUCAGGUGUAGCGGUGAAAUGCGUAGAGAUCUGAAGGAACACCAGUGGCGAAGGCGGCUCUCUGGACUCAAACUGACGCUGAGGUACGAAAGCGUGGGUAG
rnacentral:rRNA from 1 species